CCUACGGGUGGCAGCAGUAGGGAAUCUUCGGCAAUGGACGAAAGUCUGAACGAGCAAAGCCGCGUGAGUGAAGAAGGUCUUCGGAUCGUAAAACUCUGUUGGUAGAGAAGAACGUUGGUGAGAGUGGAAAGCUCAUCAAGUGACGGUAACUAACCAGAAAGGGAAGGCUAACUACGUGCCAGCAGCCGCGGUAAUACGUAGAUCCCGAGCGUUGUCCGGAUUUAUUGGGCGUAAGGCGAGCGCAGGUGGUUUAUUAAGUCUGGGGGAAAAGGCAGUGGCUCAACCAUUGUAUGAAUUGGAAACUGUGAGACUUGAGUGCAGGAGGGGAGAGUGGAAUUCGAGGUGUAGCGGUGAAAUGCGUAGAUAUAUGGAGGAACACCGGUGGCGAAAGCGGCUCUCUGGCCUGUAACUGACACUGAGGCUCGAAAGCGGGGGGAUCAAACAGGAUUAGAUACCCUUGUAGUC
rnacentral:rRNA from 1 species